AAGUCGUAACAAGGUUUCCGUAGGUGAACCUGCGGAAGGAUCAUUAUUGAACAAUCAAACCAAUGUGGGCAAGUUGUAGCUGGCCUCUCGGGGCAUGUGCACGCUUGUCUGCAAUUGUUCUCCAUCCACCUGUGAACAUUUUGUAGACUUGCGAAGCUUAUGGACGAAGGGGUAACCUUUCAGAAGUAAUGAUUUGCGGUCUAUGUUUUUAUAAACACCAAUGAAAGUCAAAGAAUGUCUUGUUAUAUUCAAAUACAAAUAUAACUUUCAGCAACGGAUCUCUUGGCUCUC
rnacentral:misc_RNA from 1 species